GCCGCGGUGGCCGACGCGUUCUGCGCGUCCCGGCUCGACGGGGCCGGAGCGCGUCAAUACGGCACCUUGCCGUGCGGUGUCGACGCCGCGGCG
rnacentral:tRNA from 1 species